CCUACGGGAGGCAGCAGUCGAGAAUCAUUCACAAUGGGGGAAACUCUGAUGGUGCGACGCCGCGUGGGGGAAUGAAGGUCUUCGGAUUGUAAACUCCUGUCAUGUGGGAGCAAAUUAAAAAGAUAGUACCACAAGAGGAAGAGACGGCUAACGCUGUGCCAGCAGCCGCGGUAAUACAGAGGUCUCAAGCGUUGUUCGGAAUCACUGGGCGUAAAGCGUGCGUAGGCUGUUUCGUAAGUCGUGUGUGAAUGGCGCGGGCUCAACCCGCGGACGGCACAUGAUACUGCGAGACUAGAGUAAUGGAGGGGGAACCGGAAUUCUCGGUGUAGCGGUGAAAUGCGUAGAUAUCGGGAGGAACACUCGUGGCGAAGGCGAGUUCCUGGACAUUAACUGACGCUGAGGCACGAAGGCCAGGGGAGCGAAAGGGAUUAGAUACCCUUGUAGUC
rnacentral:rRNA from 1 species